rnacentral:lncRNA from 1 species
GCAUGCUUUUGCCAUUCCUGCUAGAAAACAUAUGAAAGAUUGGAUGGAAAUUGUAAUGAAGACCCCUAAUUAAUCCAAGAUCCAACAAGCGAUAUAUAUUUUCCCAGUGCCAAGAGAGGAAGAAGAUAUAUGUAUGUAAAUCUUUGUUUUUCAAAAUUCAUCACCAGAUACAGGAAGAUCAAAAACAAAAGGAAGAUAAGAGAAAUGGAGGGGAACUAAUUGCAUUAAACAAUGAACAAAUUCACAUUCCUUUUACAGUUUCUUGUUCAUGGAAACCACAUGAAACAGAUCUUAAUAUUUAUAUAAAUAUUAAACAACAGGGAGCAUUCAACGGUCACAAAGCCAACCUUAAUUUGCAAAUGCAAGAAGGGUACUGUUAAUCAAGUUAAAACAUGCACCUUUCAAACCUUCAUCUCCUUAAUUUCUUGACUAUUAUAUGUAUAAUUUGUUUGAUCCUCUCUUUUAGGAUUUAGCUAUAGAUGGAUAAUUCUAUAGCAGGUUCUCUUGACCCAGCAAAGCCCUUUCUUUAUAGAAGACUUGACUUUUCCCUCGACAGCAUAUAGCUUAUAUCUUGCAACACGUGUUUUCCUCUUUGUCUCUGGUGAAUUCCACCACGACUUGGCAGACUUUGAAGAUCUCUUUGCAACAUGUUGAUCAUGAUACCGGUGAUGAUGCUUCCUGGAAAAAUCAUAGUCUGGGCGAUAUUUUGAUGUUACAGUACUUCUGUCAUGAACAUUGAUCUCGUCCAUCUUGAUUGAUCUCCAGCUCCCUCUCCCUCUCCCUCUCUCUCUGCAACAGGAGGGGUCAAAUGAGAGAGACGAAGAGAGAGGGAUGCUCUCUUAGGCCUUUUAUCAAGGGAAAGGAAGGGGUAUGAUUUGUUAGGAUAGAAAGGUAAGAUCAUGUUAAGAUAGCUUUGUACUUCUAAUUCUAACGGUGCGUAAGGUUGUCAGCUUGUUAGAUUCUGUCAUGACAGAAUGUUUUAUUAUUUCUCAUUUUGAAAAAAAAGAUAUUUUAUUUACUAAUCGAAUCAGAUUAAUCAAAUAAUAUCCACCAUACCUUAGCUUAUAUUAUUUCAGAA